rnacentral:rRNA from 1 species
CUGGCGGCAGGCCUAACACAUGCAAGUCGAGCGCACUCUUCGGAGUGAGCGGCGGACGGGUUAGUAACGCGUGGGAACAUACCCUUUUCUACGGAAUAGCCUCGGGAAACUGAGAGUAAUACCGUAUACGCCCUUUUGGGGAAAGAUUUAUCGGUGAAGGAUUGGCCCGCGUUUGAUUAGAUAGUUGGUGGGGUAACGGCCUACCAAGUCUACGAUCUAUAGCUGGUUUUAGAGGAUGAUCAGCAACACUGGGACUGAGACACGGCCCAGACUCCUACGGGAGGCAGCAGUGGGGAAUCUUAGACAAUGGGCGCAAGCCUGAUCUAGCCAUGCCGCGUGAGUGAUGAAGGCCUUAGGGUCGUAAAGCUCUUUCGCCUGUGAUGAUAAUGACAGUAGCAGGUAAAGAAACCCCGGCUAACUCCGUGCCAGCAGCCGCGGUAAUACGGAGGGGGUUAGCGUUGUUCGGAAUUACUGGGCGUAAAGCGCACGUAGGCGGAUUGGAAAGUUGGGGGUGAAAUCCCGGGGCUCAACCCCGGAACUGCCUCCAAAACUAUCAGUCUAGAGUUCGAGAGAGGUGAGUGGAAUUCCAAGUGUAGAGGUGAAAUUCGUAGAUAUUUGGAGGAACACCAGUGGCGAAGGCGGCUCACUGGCUCGAUACUGACGCUGAGGUGCGAAAGUGUGGGGAGCAAACAGGAUUAGAUACCCUGGUAGUCCACACCGUAAACGAUGAAUGCCAGUCGUCGGGCAGUAUACUGUUCGGUGACACACCUAACGGAUUAAGCAUUCCGCCUGGGGAGUACGGUCGCAAGAUUAAAACUCAAAGGAAUUGACGGGGGCCC